GGGUAAAGUCAUCUAACCGUGUACCGGGGCCACCGUGGCAAUGUCGCAGGAGUUUGGACAUUUUCUUUGUUUUAUCUUCGAUACAGUCACGGUCGACGAAUAUUUUUGUAGUUCCGAGUGCAGCUCUUGAUGUGAGCGUUUCGUUUGGAACUUCAGAAGAUUUUAAGCAGUUCCUAUCAGUUUGAGCAGCUGUCGGAUAUCGACAUCGCAAGUUUUCUAUUACGAGAAACCGGUCUAGCGCCCAAGCCAUCGGUGGAGAAUUUCUUGCAGCUCCGAGUCCCUGACCCCAGUUUAGGACAUUUUUGAGAUCUACCACCAGUGCUAUAGAAUCAAGCCGCCAGCAACCAUUGUAUUUUUCCCAUUGAGAGCGCCACGGAUGUUCCGAGAAAAUAUGCAGACUCCCAUUCAACAGGACAUUGUGCAGCAAUUAACCAUUGGUCCUUUAAAUCACAAGGAAACUGGAACCAUUUACUCAUCUCGAGGUGAAAAUCGAACGACUUCUCCUGUGCGGGUGCGAAUAUUGACGGCACCGAGCCUGGCACCAAAGACAUAAAUGGACUUAUCUAAAUACUCAAGGCCGAUAAAGUUAACACGAUCUGCUGUUAAAAGGUACACCGGACGUUAGAAAUCCUUUCCGAACGACUCCUAUAUGUAAAAAUAUCGAUGUUCAAUUUGCAUGCUGCCUCGUCUUGUCGCUCCCGACAAUUGCCAACAAGAACAGGUCGGAAAAAGGAAAAGGAUAAAAAAAUUCAGUCCGUUCGGUUCGUUCAAGACAGGGGCAUCACCAGAGGGAAACGGAACGUAAACCAAGGAGGAGUUAUUAUUUUUUGUACCAAGAGCUCCUGUUUGAGUGUGCUGCUUCAACAACAUCCGGAUAUCAGAUUUUUUAUUAGAUUGAUCUCGGUGCGAUCAGUCGCGGCAUCGAUCCAACGACAUCAGUUAUCAUCUUUAGUCCAGAUACCAUCAGCCAAGCUGUCACCAGUUCCGGAAUUCCGUCAAAAUUCCGCACAGCUCGCUUGUGAUCCGGUGCUUGCUGCGAUUGAUGUUUCCUCCACCGCGCAGUGAUGAGCAGCUGAGGGAUGCUCCGGUUCGUCCGGAACUGCUACCAUAAAUGAAAUCUCCCACAGCUGCUUGUAUUGCAGCAAUAAUAAGGCUUCCGACAAAUGUAUUACAUAAAAAAUAA